UACGGGGGGGGCAAGCGUUGUUCGGAAUUACUGGGCGUAAAGGGCUCGUAGGCGGCUUUGCAAGUCGGGUGUGAAAGCCCUCGGCUCAACCGAGGAAGUGCGCCCGAAACUGCAGAGCUUGAGUACCGGAGAGGAUGGCGGAAUUCCCCAAGUAGAGGUGAAAUUCGUAGAUAUGGGGAGGAACACCGGUGGCGAAGGCGACCAUCUGGACGGAUACUGACGCUGAGACGCGAAAGCGUGGGGAGCAAACAGG
rnacentral:rRNA from 1 species